CAUUCGACAAAGUCAAGUGUAAUGCUAUUUACCCUGAGGAACGCAUUGCAGUGCAUACACUUUGAACACGUAGUCCUCGUGAGUGCAGAGAGUGAUUAAUUAGAUUAAAGUUUGUAAUCGUACUAGGAUUUUAAUCCUUCGUAGUUAAUUACUAGCUUUAUUUCGCACAACAACAACAAUUUUCGUAUAAGAUAAGAUGAACAUUCUGUCUGCGACAGCCGACUAUACGCCCGUGGUGGGGGCCUACAAGGGGAUCUUGCACUACGCCCACGACGACAAGCAGGCGGGCGACCGGGCUCUAAAACGCAACGCCAUGUCCUCGGCGGCGCUGACGGGGGCCUACGUGGGGGUGGUGGCGGGGGGGCCGCUGGGGGCCGCCGUGGGGUCUGUGGUCGGCGGCGCAUUCGGCGCCGUCUUGACCUCGGACUCGUCUGACAGUAAAAGGAAGUGAUAAAGGCACAUUUUUCUAAUUGUAAUAUUUUAAUAAAACAGUGGAAAACAA